GCCUACGGGAGGCAGCAGUGGGGAAUAUUGGACAAUGGGCGAAAGCCUGAUCCAGCCAUGCCGCGUGUGUGAAGAAGGUCUUCGGAUUGUAAAGCACUUUAAGUUGGGAGGAAGGGUUGUAGAUUAAUACU
rnacentral:rRNA from 1 species